AGGAUCACGCAAACAAAGGAGGGGAGAGAGAAAGAGAAAAAUAACAGGGGGAGGGGAGAACAGGAAAAAUACAAGACAAAAACACAACACUGUAGGUCUUUUUUUUCUUGCUGUUUACUUAGGUUGCAGGUUCUCCGCUCGUAUUGCCCCAGUGAUAACCUGCAUCUUGCGUAUAAGGUUUGCAUCUAGUCUUCAAAUGUCAAUGAGCAGUAAAACAAACCCAGGAAGAACAUGUAAAGUGCCCAGUAAUUUUCGAGGUUUGCAUUAAUUUAAUACAGUACAAAUAUUUUCACAAUCACAAUAUCAGUGGGCAGCUAUGCAUUUGGUACCUAAGCCUUUACUGGGGAUUUACCAGACUUGAGCCACUUAAUACUUGCACAAUUAUAUAUCAAUAAUAUAUAUUACUGUAUACAAUAAUGCAAUUCAGAGCAAAACACCAAUGUGGCAUUGGCAACACGUGUAUCAUCUUGAGCUGUUCAUCAACAUAAAAACAUGAAAAGAAACCAUUCAAAAACCAACCAAAAAAGGAUAGAAUGUUAUUAAUGUGCAGAUCGCUACAGAUGUGUUUUCGCCUUGGAGUUGGCUAUGUAACAAGUUUUGCUCUGACCAAACAAUCAGAGGAUUGUAAAAUGCUCGCUGGCCCUUGAAGGAUUAGAGAAGCUGAUGACAGCAUGACAUACUAUAGCUGCUUGUUUUACAAGUAUGUGAAGUAAACAUGAAGCCUGUCUGACUCAAUUUGUCCAGUGAAAUAAUCCUGGAGUUGCAUAACCUUGACCCUCCUGCCCAACACGACGUCAAGCGGUGGAAAAUCCCAGAGAUCAAGAAAGGGAUCAGACAUAAAGGAGGGCAGUAAGAACAAUGCAAAGAUGGGAUAAAAUAGAACAGGUUGUGGGUGGGACGCCGCUGGGCUGGCUGGCGGAAGAGGACAUCGGGACCUUGUUUCGGAGAAUACAGGGCUCGCGCUGAGAACGCUGAGGCGGCAGACGCAGGCCUUGCCAGUAAUCGAGUGAGCUUUACACUGUGAAAAGUCAUUUCAGCACAUGUCCAGUUGGUUUGUGCUGUCGGGAAGAGGAAGGAAGCGUGUGAAGAGAAAAGCUGUGAUAUGAGAUAAUACAAAAUGGCAGACGAAACAAUGGAAGCGUUCAAAUCUCUAUUCUGCCGUAUCCUCAAUUUUAGAAGGAAGGUCUUGCCCCCAAAAAGUCAUCAAGGUCUUGGAACUGGGACAUCGCAUCCCUGUUAGCGUGAGGUGAACCAUUUAAUAAAGACGGGAGGGGGGUGGGGGGUGGAAAAGUUUUAACAGAGCAAACCAUAACAUUCCCCCUGGGUCAUUUGAGACAAAUUGAAGAAGCAACCUACAGAGACUUUUCGAAGGACUUGGGAAUGAAAAAAAAAAAAGAAUUAGAGCCCGAGCCAAACCUUAAGAGGAUACGUUUGCUCUUAAUAAGAACAAGUUUAAAUAUAGCAAGAUGGGGGAGGGAGUGCAGAGUUGGCAAUCACUUCUCACCACAAACAACCGCCUGUAUUUCCCAACAACUGCUGACAAAAACAUCUUAAAAUGCCCUUUGUGAGCAAAUAUGCACCAGUGGAUCACAACUACAGACUUGUUGCUCAUGAGACAAAGGGUUUCCCCGGGUAUAAAUAAAGUCACGUUGCAUCGACUAUAACAGUCAAGGCUAUAUUGAUCCCAUAUCUGAAGGAUUAAGGUUAGCAGCCGCCAUGCCCUUCAUGGCCUCCACGCCUCAACACUCCUCCGUUCACACCUCUGAGUCACCUAUACGACACGUGCCGUAUGUAUUGGUGUGAAAGCUGCAGUGAGGACACUGCAAGGGUGACCUGAGAGAUGUUCAAGGUCCUCCCAUAAUCCACUGCCACCCUAGAAUAUGAAGACGCACGUUCAUUUGCAAUCUGAAUUCAUGCUGAUGCAGAGCGUUUCUGCUCAAUGAUUGUUUUUGUUUUCCAGAUUUUUUUUUUCUUCUCGCACCGUGCGGGAUUUAUUGUGAACAAGAGUCCCUCAUCCUCAUCCAGAGAGGCACACAUAUUGGAAAACACAGGCCAUGGCCACAGAUUCCAAAUCUAAUAGAGCACAGAUUUGCUCCAUUGUUCUCAGUUCAUAGAGCAGUCUGAUACUUGCGAUGAUACAAUAUCGCAGUGAUCCGAUUAGAACAAUUUGGCUCCAGGCAUUGCCGCUCCCUUACAGGAGGACACCACCAUAAGAACAACAAGGGAAGGUCGAAAAACAAAUCCGUCUCACUCAAACUGUCGUACAAGCUGAUAAUGUUCCACUCCAGUCCUAUAGAUGGCAGUCAUAAGUUGGGUGCCACCUGCCACACACAGCAAGCGUUUUACUUCACAUGUGGGAACCGAGAGGUCAAAAUGUGUGCACA